rnacentral:rRNA from 1 species
CCUACGGGGGGCAGCAGUGGGGAAUAUUGCGCAAUGGGCGAAAGCCUGACGCAGCGACGCCGCGUGAGGGAUGAAGGUCUUCGGAUCGUAAACCUCUGUCAGCAGGGAAGAACGGUCACUGUGCUAAUCAGCAGUGACUUGACGGUACCUGCAAAGGAAGCUCCGGCUAACUCCGUGCCAGCAGCCGCGGUAAUACGGAGGGUGCGAGCGUUAAUCGGAAUUACUGGGCGUAAAGCGCUCGUAGGCGGUAUGUCAAGUCAAGGGUGAAAUCCCCGCGCUCAACGUGGGAACUGCCUUUGAAACUGGCAAACUGGAGUGGGGGAGAGGAUAGUGGAAUUCCAGGGGUAGGAGUGAAAUCCGUAGAUAUCUGGAGGAACAUCAGUGGCGAAGGCGAGUAUCUGGCACAUAACUGACGCUGAGGAGCGAAAGCGUGGGUAGCAAACAGGAUUAGAUACCCUUGUAGUC